GUUUCGUGAAAAGUGUAAAGAGCAAAUCCUUCGUGAAAAACCCAUAGAAAUCUAGGCGAUUUCGAAUUUGGAUACUAAAAAACCGGACGCCCCAACGGUGAAACACGCAAUAUACUUCCUAUGAUUAUCGAUAUUUCUCACGAUCAAUUUUUACCGGGAAACAUGGCGGAAUGAAGCACACCACAUUUGUAAACAGAACAGAAUUAACCGGAAGAAUUAUCCAGAAAGAAGUAUUACCCAAAAGUUCUCAGAUGAACCGUGCAUUUCUGACUUCAACUCAAGCGGGAAACAUGGCGGAACGAAGCACAUUUCACCUGUGAACAGAACAGAAUUAUCCAGAAGAAUUAUCCAGAAAGAAGUAUUACCCAAAAGUUCUCAGAUGAACCGUGCAUUUUUGACUUCAACUCGAGUUCUCAAACAAAGUAAAGCGUAGAAGACUUUGGAGCACAAAAUUCGAAGUAAAAAACAACAACAGGAACACAGUAUUUAUGUUCGUCUUACUUAUCGUGCCUAUUCGGACCAGAUCACCCCACCCCCUACUACUUUCUCAAAUGCAGGAUAUGAAUGAAAUGAACAAUCAAAUCAAAUGUGAUAUGAACAAUCUGAUGAACUUUCACGGAAAAUUGAAAAUUUUUGUGACCACGCGCAAUGUGGUCGAUAGAGUCAGUGUUUGUUGCGCAAUAUGUUAAUGUUUUUCUGAGCAAAAUGGCUCUCAUUAAAUUAGAUUAUUAAUUUAUUUAAAUUAUAAUUCCAGAAGUUAGAGUCAGUGAGUUCGCCGAUUGCAUCUUAAACGCGUGCAUUGAUAGUCUUUUAUUUUUUCUUUUUUUAUAUUUUCUUUGUUCAACAUUCUUUUUCGGUAUAUUAGUGUCAGUGCUCAAGAGGAUAAGGCCUCUACAGGAGGUCAUAAUCACGCUUAACAGCAUCAACUUUCUGGGAUAUUUUGAGGAAAAUUCAACGCUAGCUCCAAAGCCAAGAAUAUUCUCUACAGUUUUCAAUUCCCCUAGUCCCCUGAGAAUUUUACGAUGCUUCAGAAACAAAAAAUAAAUUUUUUAUUGGCGUUCAUUUCCACCAUGGGAUUCUCAGUGGUAUCUGCUCGAUGAGGAUCUUCACAACGACUUUCCUUGGUCCAGUGCAGCAUCGAUGACAACGUUCUUCGCAUCUAUCGCGUGAGUCGCAUGCAUUUAUGUCCCUCCGGUCAUUCAAUCAUGUCGUAGGAC